rnacentral:rRNA from 1 species
GAUGAACGCUGGCGGCGUGCCUAAUACAUGCAAGUCGAGCGAACAGACGAGGAGCUUGUUCCUCUGACGUUAGCGGCGGACGUGUGAGUAACACGUGGAUACCCUACCUAUAUUACUGGUAUAUUUUCGGGAAUCCGGCUCUAAUACCGUAUAAUCUCUUGAACCGCAUGGUUCAAUAGUUAAUUUCGGUUUUUCUGUCUCUUAUAGAUGGAUCCGCGCCGCAUUAGCUAGUUGGUAAGUUAACGGCUUUCCAAGGCAACGAUGCGUAGCCGACGUGAGAGGGGGAUCGGCCGCACUGGAGCGGAGACAGGGUCAAGACGACUAAGAGAGGGAGCAGUAGGGAAUCUUACGCAAUGGGCGAAAGCCUGACGGAGCAGCGGGGCGUGAGAGAUAAAAAUGUUGGGAUCGUAAAACUCGGUUAUGAGGGAAGAACAAAUGUGGAAGUAAAUAUGCACGUAUUGACGGUACCGAGUCAGAAAGCCACGGCUAACUACGUG